rnacentral:rRNA from 1 species
GCCAGCAGCCAUAUCACUCUGCAACUCACAACUGGUAACUCACCGACGCUAAGCAGGUGUGAGCCUAGUCAGUACCUGGAUGGGACACCACCUGGGAAACAGUUGCUGCUGGAA